AGGCGGGGGGCACUCUGACGCGUCGCCUCUGGGAGAACCGAGAGACCCACAGUGAGCAGAGUUGACCACCGAGAGCCGGGGCCUCCCGGGGCGUAGGCGGGGAGAGCUCUCGAGUGACGGGGGAGCUCUGACCGUGCAAGCUUGAGAGGCAGACUGCCUUCAGCUCAGGUCCUAGGAAUUUCAGACAAGGCCGGAUUACCACCUGUAAACCAGAGACAACUUGUCAUUUGAAUGAACAGAAUCAUGAACUAAAAUAAAAAGGAAAGUAAUGUAUCUUGAUUGUGACAGUAUGCGGAGGCUAUCUUACCCACCACUGUUGGAAUAUGAUAGUGACAGUCUCCUGUGGAAACUCCCCCACUGGCUGAACCCAAGAAGAAGCCCAGGGGAACUAAGCCGAGAUGACAGUGUCCUUCAAGGCCAGCUGCUGGAAAAGGACAGAGGGUAGAUCUGGAAAGACAAAGGCAAAAUAUCUAGCAGGUGUGUGGUCAUAGAACAAUGCGAGAACUGUCUAAGCGUAUGGCCAAGGAGCUUCAGGGAAUCCAGAAACCAGGGUUCCAGAGAGAAUAAGUGAAGGUAGCUGGAGAGUAGGUAAGGCAGGUGGAGGGAACAGAAAAGAUCAUCAACUCAGACUGAGACAAGGAUGAGAGGCAGAAGCAGGUGCAUUUUAUUUUUUGGCCAAAUACUUAGCUGGAGACGGAGCUCUGAAAGAGAUUAAUAGGAGAUACAGGAACUAAAUUAGACUAGAGCUCUGGAAAUUCUUCCCCUAUUGGCUAUUACCCUAUAUUUCUCCUUCCUCACUAAACUGCAUGCGUUCAACAAAUAAUUGCUUAGUACCUAUCAUGUUCCAGGAACUGUUAGGCCCUGGGGAUUGAGGAGAGAACAAAAUUAACAUUCUUGCCGUCCUGCAGGUUACUUCCCGGUGGGGGGAGACAGACCAUAGAUAAGCAAAUAUAUCAAGGAAUGAUAAGUGUUAUAAAGAAAAAAUGGGGGAGAGCAGGGAAAUAAAAUUCUGCCCUUUCUAUAUCUUAAAAACCUCUCAAUUUAAACCACACAGCCCCCUCCCCCCCAACACACAUCUGAGCUCCUGAAUAAAUUAGGCUGUGUGUAUCUCUCACCUGGACAAAGAUCAUAAUACCUUCCUCCCUCCAGCACCCCGGCCAGUUCUGCUCUCUGUGGGGAGGAGCUUCCUGAAAUGAAUCAUGUCAGUACCCUGCUUAAAAUCCUCCAAAGCUCUUAUUUGCCCACAGUGUGGAAUACUGUCUAAGCUCCUCAUCAUGGAUCUUUUCUUAUCUUCUCUGUCCAUCACGUGCCUCUACCUCUCCCACUCUCCUCUUCUGCCCGUACUGGUAUGCUUGUUCAUGCUGCCUUACCACUGCAAGGGCCUUCCCAUGCCCUCCCCCUUCCCCAGAAUUUGGCAAUUUCCUCUUUAUUCUUCUAAACCUCUUAGCUAUCACCUCUUUGGUCAAGCUCCCCUGGCUUUCCCAAGUGGGAAGGAGCAUCUCCCAGCUCCCUCCUUCAUGUUACCAGUGUAUCUUAUAGGUACCUAUGAAUACAUUUAUCACACCGUAUAAUCUUAUUUUCUGGAUCUCAAGAUGUACAGAAAUGGGUUUGGGACACCUGGGUGGCUCAAUGGGUUGAGCCUCUGCCUUCGGCUCAGGUCAUAAUCUUGGCGUCCUGGGAUGGAGCCUGGAAUCCAGCUCUCUGCUCAGGGGAGAGCCUGCUUCUCUCUCCCUUUCCCUCUGCCCCCCCCCAUAUAAAUAAUAUCUUAAAAUAUAAUCCAUGGGUCAGAAUCCUAUGUUCAUUGGUUCACGUAUGUCUCUCUUGUAUUACUAAUCAUCCAGCCUAAAAACUUGUAUUGACAACUGACAUAUAUCCCCCACACCCUGACCCCCAAUGCUUAAUCUUGUGUUUAUCAUUUUCUGGCUUCUAAAAAUAUUUUUAGCUAGAAAAAAAAAAUUUUUAAGAGUUUAUUUAUUUGACAGAGAAAGAGCUCACAAGUAGGCAGAGAGGCAGGCAGAGAGAGAGGGGGGAAGCAGGCUCCCCGCUGAGCAGAGAGCCCAUGCAGGGCUUGAUCCCAGGACCCUGAGAUCACGACCUGAGCCGAAGGCAGAGGCUCAACCCACUGAGCUACCCAGGCGCCCCAAGAAAAUAUUUUUUUAAAUCAAUUUUUUAAAUUGCCCUAGCUUUGAUUUCAUGGAUAUGUGCAAUCUAAAAGGAAAAAACAAAACAAAACAAAUGAACAAACAAAAAGCAGAAACAGACCGGUAAAUACAGAGAAUGGAAGGUUGCCCGCAGGGAGGGGGUGGGGGGAGGACAAAACGGAUGAAAGGAAUAGAAGACACGGGCUUCCCGUUAUGGGAUAAAUAAGUCACAAGGAUGAAAGGUACAGGGUAGGGAAUGUAGUCAGUCAAUAGUAUGGUAGUGGCCUUUAUGUGGUGACAGAUGGUAACAACACUUGCGUGGUGAGCCAAGCAUAAGGAACAGACUUGUCAAAUCACUGUGUUGUACACCUGAAACCAAAUGUAAUAUUCAGUGUGUCAACUGUACUUCAAUUUAAAAAAUGACCCUAGCUUUAUAAAAGUUUAAAAGUCUUGCUUUUUUAAAAAAAAAAAGUUGAGGGGCGCCUGGGUGGCUCAGUGGGUUAAGCCGCUGCCUUCGGCUCAGGUCAUGAUCUCGGGGUCCUGAGAUCAAGUCCCGCAUCGGGCUCUCUGCUCAGCAGGGAGCCUGCUUCCCUCUCUCUCUCUCUCUGCCUGCCUCUCCAUCUACUUGUGAUUUCUCUCUGUCAAAUAAAUAAAUAAAAUCUUUAAAAAAAAAAAAAAGUUGAGAUUGAAUGUGUUUAUGUAUCUUUACUAACUAUAUACAUUUCCUCUUGUGAAAUAUCUGUUCAUAUCUUUUUGCCCAUUUUCUAUUAGUUUUUUAUCUUUUUCUCAUUAAUUUUCAGAAUUUCCUUAUAUGUUCUUUUAAUAUUCCUGUAGAGUUUUUUUUCCCCUUAGAAUUCAAGUAAACAGAAAAGUUUAAUUUCUAGAACUGUGUGUAUGUCUAUGUAUUUGCAUAUACAUGUAAGUAUAUAUUUGUGUAUGUGAGCCUACAAACAUAGUCCCAACACAUGUAUUUUAGUUGCUUUCUUUAUUAAAGAGCAUCAUUCCCUACAUAAUAUCCUGGGACUUCUUUCUUUUCUUUUUUUUUUUUUUUAAGAUUUUAUUUAUUUAUUUGACAGAGGGAGUGAGAGCACAAGCAGGGGGAGGAGCCGAGAGAGAAGCAGGCCCCCCUGCUGAGCAGGGAGCCCAACACAGGACUCAAUCCCAGGACGCUGGGACCAUGACCCAAGCCAAAGGCAGAUGCUUAACCGGCUGAGUCACCCAGGUGCCCCUAUCCUGGGACUUCUUUUUCACUUUCCAUGUGAUAUUGCUAAGAUUUAUCUCGGGCAUGCUGCGAGUAGCUGAGUUUAUUUACUGUGGCUGUUACAGGUUAUUCUAGAAUGUGAUUACACUAAUACUACUUUGCCCCUUGCAGCAGAGGCCCUUAGUACACUGUAUUUUCCCCUUGGCUCACCUCUGAUUUUAGCCAAAUACAUCGUGGCCAGUUUCCUGGGAGCUCCCAAACACUGGCAAUUCCUACUAUUAGGAAUUCCUACUGUUAGGCCUUGGGUUUCUCCAGUUUCGGGCCCAGGCCCUUUCUGCUAGGAGAGCUUCUCAGCAUCCCCUCAGGCACAGCCUGAUAGUAAGGAGAGUUAACCCUCAACUAAUAUGGGAUUCAAGCCAAGGGAUAAAAGCCCCAGGCUCCCAUCCUUCAGAGGGCAGUUCUGGAAGGCACUUUGUAUGCUUCCUAGAGGCGUCUGUGGAACCACAUGCUCUGAGUCAGCUCUUCUUCCUCCUCUGCCUCAUCCUCCUGUCCUUCACUCCCGCUGCCUGAGAUCACUUCCCGAAUAAACAGCCUGCACCCAAGUCCUUGACCCAGUCUCUGCUUUUGAGGAGCUCAAACUAAUACAGCCAAUGUGCUGAUAAUGAGCGUUUGGGCUGUUGCAGGUUUUUGCUGUUGCAAAAGUGCUGCUAAGAAAAUUCGUGUAAAGCCCACUGGUGCACAAGUGUAAGAAUUUCUCCCGUGUAUUAAUACAGGAGCAGAGAUGCUGGGUCAAAGGCUACGCCGACUUUCAGCUCUACGAGAUAAUUCCAGACUGUUUACCAAAGUGCUUUUUACCAAUUCACAGUUUCAGCAACAUUGUAUAUGGGGCCCUACUGCUCCACAUCCUCUCCUGCACUUGGGAUUGUCAGAUUUCUUAAUUUUCACCACUUUUAACAUGGGUAUCAAAUGAAAUCUCAUUGUGGUCUCAAUUUGUAUUUCCUGAUGAUUCAUGAGAUUGAACAGGUCCUCCUAUACUUAUUGACCAUAAAUGUUUCAUCUGGGAAAUUCUUAGCUUUUGCCCAUUUUUGCAUUGAUUGAUUGUCCUUUCCUCAUUAAUUUCACUAAUCCUUUUUUUUUUUUAAUUUUUAUUAAUGUAUUUAAGUCAUCUCUACCUCCAUCACAGGACUCGAACUCACAAUCCAAGAUCAAGAGUCACAUGCUUCACCAACCCAACCAGCCAGACGCCCCUAAUUUUACUAAUUCUGGGACAGUUAUGGGUUUUCCCCCCUUGGCAAUCAGGUGCUCAGAAUUGAAUUAAUCACAGUCUUUACCCAAUAAGACCUUUUUUCUGGUUACAAAACUAAGGCAUGCUUGUCAUAAAAGAAACACGUGAAGAAUACAAACAUGUCUAGCUUAGAGAAAGUCUCCUAAAUUUAGGUCAGCUCCACCCCACCUCUGAGCAGGAAGAACUCCCACAAGUUUGUUGCCCCAUACUUUGGGGAUUUUGUUUUCACGUAUGUCUCCCAAACCGGAUAGGUUCUCAAAAGAAAGGACUGUGUGUGGUAGUCACCCUCACACUCUUAGCCCCAGGCAAAGUCCUGGCUUAGAUCAGGAAUGUAGCACAUCACUGUUGAACUCACUCCUGAAACGUGGGUCAGAAUAAGUUUUUAAGGUACAACACUUCAGUUUGACCAGAACAGAAGACUAGAAGACUCAGGUCGGAGAAAAACGGAGGCUCAUACUUGUAACAUGCUCUGGGGCUUGAUUACUUAAAGACUUAGCCAUUGGGCUGAAGUAUCUGGUUUAUAUCUUGGAGGCAGCCAGCUGAGGAGGCACUCAAGGCCACUUUGAGUGCAGGGAAGUUUUUUUUUUUUAUCAGCGACAGAAUUAAAAUAAAACAUCGACAAUCUAGCCAUCUAACAUCAGAGUACGGGAUGUAAGGGGGGGUUGGGGAAAAUAAGAGAGAAGACAGAGGAAUGAAUGAAUCCAGAAGUUAUCAACUUUGGGGGUGGGGAGUCAGACUUCUUUGAAAAAGUCAUGAGAACUGGGUCUUUUUUCAGAAAAAUAGACGUAAACAUCAGCCUCUGCACCUUUUUUUUAAGGCUUUUUUUUGUUUUGUUUUAUCUUAUUUUAUUUUAUUUUUUAAGAUUUUUUAUUUAUCCAUUGGACAGACAGUAGUAGUAGACACAAGUAGGCAGAGAGGCAGGCAGAGAGAGAGAGAGAGAGAGAGAGGGAAGCAGGCUCCCUGCUGAGCAGAGAGCCUGCUGCAGGGCUUGAUCCCAGGACCUUGGAAUCAUGACCUGAGCCGAAGGCAGAUGCUUUAACCCACUGAGCCACCCAGGAGCCCCUGUUUUGUUUUAUUUAAGUCAUCUCAACACCCAAUGUGGGGCUCUAACUCGCAAUCCUGAGAUCAGGAGUCCCAUGCUAGGCAAGUCAGCUAGGCGUCCCAGCCCCUGCACUUUUUAAGAACCUGUGAUCAGUGGGCUGUUCUAAGAACAAGAGACAAAGACUCUGAGCCGUGAUGGUAGAAUGUGUUUAUUCACUCAGACAUGCUGAUCUGUCUCCAACUGGGCGCAAGGCACCGUGUUGACUGCUAGGCACACAGGCCGUCCGAUUUCAAGCAUGGAGUAGAGUACAGUGUGGCAAGAGCUCAGACUCUGAGCCGAACUGCCUGCUUCCAAAACUGCUGCCAGGUGACCUUGGCUAAUUUGCAGAAGCCAUAGGCCCUCUGCAGGUGUCUCACAGAGACCAUUCUAUCAUCACCCUCAUUGUUAAGGGAAUCCACAUCCCAAUAAAACACUUAGAAUUCAAGGCAUGGAGGGAGCCCUUGGCAUAGCCUUAAGGCAGAAACCAGAAUGAAGAGCAAAAGGAGGAAGCAGAGAGCGCAGGCUUGAUUUCAAGAGCUUGGGCUAAAAUGGAGGAGGGGAGAUAGGCAGUAACUAGAGGGGGAAGUGAGGGCGAGGGGAAAAAAAAUUUUUUUUAAAGAUGGGUGAGAUCCUAAAUGCUAUGCUAUGGGGAGGACGCCGCGGAGUGGGAGAAGCUGAAGGCAAAUCGCUGAUGAUCUGUUUUUUUCCCCUAAAGCAGCCCAGAAGGCAGACGGGAGGGCUCUAGGGCAGAGGUGGAGGGUCCGGCUUUAGCUGGGAAGCCACUUCCGCUUGUGAGCUGGAGGGGAGGAGUCGACUGUGGUGUGGCUGCAGGUGCAGGCUCUGGGCUCCGAAGUAACCACAGGCCACCGAGAAGGAAUGCCACCCAUGGGGGAGGGGCGGCGAGCAGGGGCUGGUGGGAGGUCUGAGGAGAGGGAACAAGUGGCCAGCUGGCUGAGCAUUUUAAAGGGGGGCUGGCCAGAGAGUAGAGGAAGGGAGGAAAUGCCCAGGGAUCACUCAGGAUGAGUUUAUAAGGUCACGGAUCCUCCGCCUGGCUGGGGAACUUCUGGUGGUCAUCGCAGGAGGAGAAGAGCAUCCAAAGAAUGAGCGGUGAGCGCUGAGUGAAGUCAGAAGGAAUGGGAACUGCAGGAAACCGCUGGAUUGGCCAACCCACUGGUCACUGCUGAAACGGUACCUUGAGAAUCACUCUAGUGAGUGUCAGAGCGGAUGACAGACACAUGGCUGGGAAGAAAGGAAGGAAAGAGCGGGUCAGCAGUAAACUACCCGUAAUCUGAGAUCUGACUAUGCAAUGAAGGGGAAAGUCAGACAUUAACCAAAGAGUCAAGUGGGGCUUAUUUUUCUUUCUAAAAGUCAGGAGAGGUACCUAUGUGUACACAGAUGUAUAUGCAGUAUUUUUUAAGGCAAAGCCAACGGUUGUAGAUACUGGCAGGAAAGGGAGGAGUGAAGCCCCAGUUCAGUGGGGUAUGAUGCAAGCAUAUGGUAAUAAACAGCUGCUCUGGGCCAGGUGUUUUCCAGAAGACUCUGUCGUCCCCAAUAUGCAGAGGAGAAAACUGAGGCUCAGAAAAGUUACUUGCCCCAAAUCACACUGCUAUUAUGUGAUGGAGCCAGGAUUUAAAACCAGGUCACAUCACUCCAAAGCCCCAGUACUUCCAAGCCCUAUCCCACAGACAGGCGGAAAUGUUGACACUACUGAAAGGGAGGAGGGGUACUUCUCUUGGCACCCAGGAAAGGAAGAAAGACUUGGAAGACAUGUGUGUGCUGAAGAUCUUGUGUUUAUUUAGAGUUAUUCUCCUUCCCACUCACAUGAAUAAGCAUAUGGACUUUUAAAGUUGGCAUCGCUGAGGAAGCCUAACUUGACAUAGAAAAAGAUUGAGCCAGAGGACUGAGUUAACCUUUCUGCAGCAAGAGAACUGAUUGGACAUGGCCAAGAGAGUUAAAGCUGAAGACCCAGGGCAGGUGUGUGGCUACCUGAUUCACCCAACCCUCUACCCAAAUGGUUGCUUUUUGGGAGGAUCAAUCUUCCCUUAAUUCAAGAGAAGAGGAGGGAAAUCUGCAUAGGUUCGCAAGUUGUUUUCUGCAGCGAUGGACUUGAGGCAUUUUAUGAUGUAUUCUUCAUCUAUCAAUAUUUUCUCUUUUUUUAAGAUUUUACUCAUUUAUUUGUCAGAGAGUGAGAGAGAGAGAGCAUAUGAAGGGGGACUGACAGAGGGAGAGGGAAAGGCAGACGAGGCCUAUGACAACGAUGUGGGGCUCGAUCCCAGGUACCCGGGGAUCAUGACCUCAGCUAAAUGAAGACAGACCUUUAACCAACUGAGCCACCCAGCUGCCCAUCAAUAUUUUCUGGUAGGUGAUUUCAAAAAUAACUGCCUAAAGAACAGAUCUCAUUUCUUUUUGCCAAAUCCCAUGUGCAGGGAACACAGAGAAAACCAAAACCAAACCAUAGCCCAAAGGGAACUGUGUAGUGUUAUGGUCAGGUCACAGGCCAGGGCCUGAGACAGAAACUGAGAGCUGUGGUAACUAGGCAAACAGGACCCAAGGUCAGGACGCAGGCAGCAGACCCUAUUGCCACACCAAUGUCCCAGCUCCAGAGGUCACACCAAAAGCAGUGGAGAAAAUGCCAGGGUUCAAGGGCAUGUAGCAGACCAGGAAAGGACAGAAAAAGCAGCUCUGAGCAGAAAGGAGGUAGUCACCUGACCUCACUUGAAAACUAACCUCUACAUACCCAUGAAGGCCAUUUUAAGUCACCUAGUGGCCUAUUAAAAACAAGUGAAAAGCAACAAGUGAAAUCAAACUUCACUUAACUGAAUAUAUCAGAAUAUAUCUGAAUAUAUCAGAAUAUAUCAGAAUUACUAGCGCCCAGCUGGCUCAGUCAGUGGAGCACGUGACUCUUGAUCUCAGGGUCCUGAGUUCAAGCCCCAUGUGAAUAUGGAACCUACUUCAUUAGAAGAAGAAGAAGAAUUAUCAUUUCACAUUGUAAUCAAACAGCCAAUAGUUUAAAUUCCUUUUUCAUGCUAAGUCUUCAAGAUCUAGAAUAUGACUUUUUUUUUUUUUAAAGAUUUUAUUUAUUCAUUUGAGAGAGAGACAGAGAGAGCACAAGCAGGGGAAGGGGCAGAGGGAGAAGAAGAAGCAGACUCCCCACUGAGUUGGGAGUCUGAUGUGGGACUUGAUCCCAGGACCUUGAGAUCAUGAGAUCUGAGCCACCCAGGGGCCCCUGCAACAUGUCUUGUACUUGCAGUACAUCUCAGUCUGAACUAGCCUCCUUCCUAAUUGUCGGUGUCCUCUGGGGCUAGUGGUCUUUGUGUCAGUCAACACAGGUUUAGAGAAAACCAUACUUAACAUUCUAACAUUAAAGUAUUUUCUCUAUUUUUCCUUCUCUCUUUCUUCCUUUUAAAACAUGUUCAGGUGGGAAGGGCUGGAUUUUGAGGGGAGUGGGAGAAAACUCUCAGAUGCUGAGAAUCUCUAAUGUGAAAUUUUAUUGAUUAUUUUUUUAAAGAUUUUAUUUAUUUAUUUGGCACAAAGAGAGAAAGGCAGGCAGAGGGAGAAGCAGGCUUCCCACUGAGCAGGGAGCCCAAUGAGGGCCUCAAUCCCAGGACCCUGGAAUCAUGACCUGAGCCAAAGGCUGUGCUUAACUGACUGAGCCACCCAGGCGUCCAUCUAGUGUGAAAUUUUAAACGAUUCAAGUAUUGCUCUCCUCGUCGGUUUCUUUCCUUUCCUUGAGAGAUGCUGCUGCUGCUGCUGCUUUUUUCCCUCUUCUUCUGCUCCUCUUUUUUAAGCCCCACGAUGCACAGAAAUCCCUGGGAAGAUAAUGUGACACAGGUGGGUGCCCACUACCGAGCAUUAAUUCCUCAUUCAUUCAUUCAUUCAUUCAUGUUUGCUCGUAACAGCAAUUACUGCUCUUCACCUACCUGUGGGGACAGAGUCUGAGGUUAGUCUUCCAGGCAUAGUCCCUGGCUUGUGAAACCUACGAUUUGGCAGAAAAGUCAGAGAAAUAGUCACCAUAAAAUGUAGUCAGUGUUAGGAAAGGGAAGUCUGAGCUGCUGAGCGGCCACCUGGGGGAAUCGUGGAAUCCAUCUCUGGAGAUGAGAUUAGAGAGGAGACAGCUGGAGGGAUAGAGGAAGGAAGGCAGAUUGAAGGAAGAACCGCUGAGCAAAAGGGAGAAGGGAGAGCUGGAAAAUGCUAGAAGGAGAAGGAGCACUGUAAGGAAGGCCCAGAAGCCUUUUGUGGCGCUGAAUGGGGUUCCCCAUGACUGGGGCCUCCGCGGGGAGUGGGAAUGCCAGUUUCAGGCAUCAUUCUCUGGGCGGCCCUGUGAGUGGUGCGAGCUGGGAGGCAGGAUGUUGACAAAUUGGGAAUAGGCAGGCCCAAGACAGGAAGUACUCCACCCUGAAAACACUCCUUGAACCGAGGCAGCUCGGUUCAAGUUCACUAGUUACACACUCGGAUGUGUUCGUGAGCUGCUCUCGUGUUCUUUCUCACUCUCCUUUUUUUUUUUUUUUAGAUUCCAGUAUAGUUAACAUACAGUGUGAUGUUAGUUUCAGGCGUGCAGUACAGUGAUUCACCACUUCCCUACGUCACCCGCACUCAUCAGGAUAGCGCCCUCUUGAGCCCUUCCCCUAUUGCUCCCAACCCCCCACCCACCUCCCCUCUGGGAGCCACUAGUUCUCUGGAGUGAAGGGUCUGUGUUUUAUGUAGAAGCAAGAUUCUCUCCUACAGUGAUUAUUCUCUUUUCCGAUUAUCUCAGGCCUUGAAGCCUUUGUUUUGAUUCAGAAAAUUGGACACGACUGAAGUUCCAUGUAAUCAAGGUCAUAUAAAAGUACAUAUAAAAUACAGGAGUGGGAUUAAUGAGCGGGUGUUAACUCUGCCCAGGGGAGGUCUGUGGAGGCUUCCCACGGCGGAUGACACUUCAGCAGGGUCUGGAAGAAGAAGUAGGAUUGUCAGGUCUCCAGAUGGAAGGAGGUUCUGAUGAUAAGAAUGAUCAUUAUUUAUUAAGUGUCAGGCAGGCACUGUUCUCAUGGUUUACAUUCUGAGCUCACUUUAGUUCCAUAAAACCCCCUAGAUCCCUCAAUCCUUAUUUACAGGAAAAGAGGUACAAAGAGGUAAAUUAAAGUGACUUGUCGGGAUGCCUGGGGAGCUCCAUAGGUUAAGCGUGGGUCUUCUGCUCAGGUCAUGAUCCCGGGGUCCUGGGAUGGAGCCCCGCAUCGUGCUCUUUGCUCAGUGGGGAGUCUGCUUCUCCCUCUGCCUGCUGCUCCCCCUGCUUGUU